rnacentral:rRNA from 1 species
CCCGGGCCUUGUACACACCGCCCGUCACAUCAUGAAAGCCGGCUGUACUAGAAGUCCCCGAGCCGACCCUAACGGGGGCAGGGGCCCAAGGUGUGGCGGGUGAUUGGGGUG